rnacentral:lncRNA from 1 species
UGGGCAUUCGAUGUGAGGCACACGGUUGUGUCCCAGACCGUGUCCGUACCCGUGUAACUCUCUGACUUGGGUCACACGACCAACCACACGCCCAUGUGCUAGGACGUGUGCAAAGUCUAAGAGUCACACGGCCAAGACACACGCCCGUGUGCUAAGCUAUGUGUAAAAACCUAGGCAUUCUGUUUCUAAAUUUUAAGGUGCAGGGGACACACGGCCAGACUACACGCCCAUGUGCCAGGCUGUGUGUCACACACGACUGAGACACAUGUUCGUAUAGACCAAAAUAGGUCAUUUAAAGGCCACUUUUCUC